GGGGAGGACUGGAUUCUAUUUCUGCUGAGAAAUUUACCAAAUGUGUGCUCAGAAGAACCUGGUUUGGUACUAUUUUCCUGAGAGCAUCUGUGUUUUAGUGAGCAGUCCUGGCUGGGAAGAAAGCCUGAGUUCAAACAAGCUCCCAAGAUGCGUCUGUGUUGAUUUGCCUCAUGCCUGCCCAUGAUGCCCUCCCAUGAUGCACCGGAACAGGUGAGGAUAUUGAGGCAGAAGGAGGUGAAGUGACUUGCUCAAGGUCAUAACCUGGAAGUGGUCAAGUUGGAAUUCAGUUUACAAAGAAGAGCUUUACAGGAAAAAAGACAAUUAUGUAGCUGCCGCCCCAGCCUAUCUCUUCUUCAUCCUGCUCAGUGUCUGAAGGUCUGGUGGAGCACUUGGAUGCCUGCGGAAACCGAUGCCGUUGAUACAUGUCAUCUCCUCUGCAUGCCAGUUGGCCAGGCAGCCUGGGCCGUGCAGGCCGCGCAGGCGGCCCCUGACAGUCCCCUGACGGAGUGGUGAGUAGCGUGAGACAGCCGUUUGCUUUGAAGCUGAUCGCAGUGCCGCCAAUGCUUUGUCACCUGUCUAAAACUGCACUGCUUUGUUAAUCGGACUGUCAUUCAUUGAGGGGCCGUGG